GGGCUUGCUUCAGCAGUGCACAAACUAAAAUUAUAGUGAUACAGAGAUUAGCAUGGCCCCUGCACAGGGAUGACAGGCAGAGUGAUGAAACAGUCCAUGUUAUA
ensembl:snRNA U6 U6 spliceosomal RNA